UACGGGAGGCAGCAGUGAGGAAUAUUGGUCAAUGGUCGUAAGACUGAACCAGCCAAGUCGCGUGAAGGAAACUGCCCUAUGGGUUUUCAACUUCUUUUGUCAGGGAAGAAUAAGGGGAUUCAAUUCUCCGAUGCCGGUACCUGACGAAUAAGGAUCGGCUAACUCCGUGCCAGCAGCCGUGGUAAU
rnacentral:rRNA from 1 species